GGCGGCGGGCACUGUCGUUGCUGGCGCACGAGCUGGGCCUCAAAGACACGGCGGGGCUGGCCAACCGCUGCCGGGACUUCGCCAAGCGGUACAAGGAAAUGCUGCGUUCGCUGGCUGAGCAGCACCGCUCUCUGGAGGCCGUGACGCAGCACGCGCCGCCCUGGGUGCGGCACCUCGAGCAGCGCCUGCACUGGCUGCCCGCCAUCGUGGAGGCGCUCCCUCGGCCGCCGCCGCGCGCGCCCAGAGACGUGCUUCUGGAGCUCGCACGCGACAUGCGGCGCCCGCACGCCCGCGCCCGCGCCGUCGGCCGCCUCGCCGCCGC